GGUUUCACGCCGGAAAGAACGGGUUACGUUGAUGGUGUAAAAUAUAGAAUUAUUUUCUUGAGGCCA
rnacentral:tRNA from 1 species